GGGGGCGACCUGGCUUCGACGUGGGUUGCAAAGCAGCGCAGGGCAUACCGAGGACCAGUCACCUCGUAAAACCAUCUGGAAAACCAUAGUCGCAAACGACGAAAACUACGCUCUAGCCGCUUAAAUCCGG
rnacentral:tmRNA from 1 species